AGUUUGAUCAUGGCUCAGAUUGAACGCUGGCGGCAUGCUUUACACAUGCAAGUCGAACGGCAGCGGGGGCUUCGGUCCGCCGGCGAGUGGCGAACGGGUGAGUAAUGCAUCGGAACGUACCCAGUCGUGGGGGAUAACGCAGCGAAAGCUGUGCUAAUACCGCAUACGUCCUGAGGGAGAAAGCGGGGGACCUUCGGGCCUCGCGCGAUUGGAGCGGCCGAUGUCGGAUUAGCUAGUUGGUGGGGUAAAGGCUCACCAAGGCGACGAUCCGUAGCUGGUCUGAGAGGAUGAUCAGCCACACUGGGACUGAGACACGGCCCAGACUCCUACGGGAGGCAGCAGUGGGGAAUUUUGGACAAUGGGGGCAACCCUGAUCCAGCCAUGCCGCGUGAGUGAA
rnacentral:rRNA from 1 species